rnacentral:rRNA from 1 species
AGAGUUUGAUCCUGGCUCAGAUUGAACGCUGGCGGGAUGCUUUACACAUGCAAGUCGGACGGCAGCACGGGCUUCGGCCUGGUGGCGAGUGGCGAACGGGUGAGUAAUGUAUCGGAACGUGCCCAGUAGCGGGGGAUAACUACGCGAAAGCGUGGCUAAUACCGCAUACGCCCUACGGGGGAAAGCGGGGGACCUUCGGGCCUCGCACUAUUGGAGCGGCCGAUAUCGGAUUAGCUAGUUGGUGGGGUAACGGCCUACCAAGGCGACGAUCCGUAGCUGGUUGAGAGGACGACCAGCCACACUGGGACUGAGACACGGCCCAGACUCCUACGGGAGGCAGCAGUGGGGAAUUUUGGACAAUGGGGGCAACCCUGAUCCAGCCAUCCCGCGUGUGCGAUGAAGGCCUUCGGGUUGUAAAGCACUUUUGGCAGGAAAGAAACGGCACGGGCUAAUAUCCUGUGCAACUGACGGUACCUGCAGAAUAAGCACCGGCUAACUACGUGCCAGCAGCCGCGGUAAUACGUAGGGUGCAAGCGUUAAUCGGAAUUACUGGGCGUAAAGCGUGCGCAGGCGGUUCGGAAAGAAAGAUGUGAAAUCCCAGGGCUUAACCUUGGAACUGCAUUUUUAACUACCGGGCUAGAGUGUGUCAGAGGGAGGUGGAAUUCCGCGUGUAGCAGUGAAAUGCGUAGAUAUGCGGAGGAACACCGAUGGCGAAGGCAGCCUCCUGGGAUAACACUGACGCUCAUGCACGAAAGUGUGGGGAGCAAACAGGAUUAGAUACCCUGGUAGUCCACGCCCUAAACGAUGUCAACUAGCUGUUGGGGCCUUCGGGCCUUGGUAGCGCAGCUAACGCGUGAAGUUGACCGCCUGGGGAGUACGGUCGCAAGAUUAAAACUCAAAGGAAUUGACGGGGACCCGCACAAGCGGUGGAUGAUGUGGAUUAAUUCGAUGCAACGCGAAAAACCUUACCUACCCUUGACAUGUCUGGAAUCCCGAAGAGAUUUGGGAGUGCUCGCAAGAGAACCGGAACACAGGUGCUGCAUGGCUGUCGUCAGCUCGUGUCGUGAGAUGUUGGGUUAAGUCCCGCAACGAGCGCAACCCUUGUCAUUAGUUGCUACGAAAGGGCACUCUAAUGAGACUGCCGGUGACAAACCGGAGGAAGGUGGGGAUGACGUCAAGUCCUCAUGGCCCUUAUGGGUAGGGCUUCACACGUCAUACAAUGGUCGGGACAGAGGGUUGCCAACCCGCGAGGGGGAGCCAAUCCCAGAAACCGGUCGUAGUCCGGAUCGCAGUCUGCAACUCGACUGCGUGAAGUCGGAAUCGCUAGUAAUCGCGGAUCAGCAUGUCGCGGUGAAUACGUUCCCGGGUCUUGUACACACCGCCCGUCACACCAUGGGAGUGGGUUUUACCAGAAGUAGUUAGCCUAACCGCAAGGGGGGCGAUUACCACGGUAGGAUUCAUGACUGGGGUGAAGUCGUAACAAGGUAGCCGUAUCGGAAGGUGCGGCUGGAUCACCU